UAUAAUAUACUGAGUGUGAACAUUCUCAAAACUGUAUUGUAUAUAGUUUUUUUUUUUAUUGUGUAAAUUUAAUUUUUGUAAAACUAAGGUUCCACAUGUCACUGUUGAAGUGAGGCAUUAAUCAGUGUGACACCACUUGUAAACAUGCUGCAUGUGUGGGGGUUCCCAGCCAGAGCUGCAUGGACUCCACACUGGGAUGAGCAGAGGCGUGCUGUUGCUGUGUGACACUGAUUUUGCUGCUCCACUUUGUGUUUUAGAGCUGCAUGGACUCCACACUGGGAUGAGCAGAGGCGUGCUGUUGCUGUGUGACACUGAUUUUGCUGCUCCACUUUGUGUUUUAGAGCUGCAUGGACUCCACACUGAGCUGCAUGGACUCCACACUGAAAUAAAUCCAGUUUCCAGCCAGUCUGUGUCUGUCGUCACAACGCAGUCAACCGUUCGAAAUCUGCUACACAGUGACAAUAAUAUUGUAUGUUGUAAUCGCACUGGACAGUUA